AGUGUGUCAUAUGAAUCUCAAUUUUUGAACAAGAAAAUGAAUUUGGGAUUUGAAUGAACAAAGUGAAGAUAUUGCUGAAAAUUAUGACAAGCACCAAGAGUUAACCACCAAAACACAGGAUUCUGAAGAUAUUUUUAUCAAGCAAUCUAUCUCUAUUAUUACAGAGGAAUCUAAACAACCAUGUCAACAUAGUCAAAGUCAUUUGUCACCCACUGGCCACUAUACUGGGCUAUUGUUACAGUUUGACUUUGCAUCAAAUGUAUCACGUCAGCAAUCCUUUGUUGUUCAUGAUUAUAAUGCAAACAAAAGAACAAUU